AUGGAAAGACAGUCAGAAAAGACAUGAAGGAAAAAAGGGGCUUCUUCAACCGUUCACUGUCUCCUUGUUCCCUCCUUUCCUUUCUGUCUUAUAAUUUUCUUCUUUUCCUUCCUUUUCUAUU
rnacentral:ribozyme from 1 species